AGAUGUUGGGUUAAGUCCCGCAACGAGCGCAACCCUUAAGUUUAGUUGCCAUCAUUAAGUUGGGCACUCUAGACUGACUGCCGGUGACAAACCGGAGGAAGGUGGGGACGACGUCAAAUCAUCAUGCCCCUUAUGAUUUGGGCUACACACGUGUUACAAUGGGGGGUACAGAAGGCAGCUUGCCGGCGACGGCUGGCCAAUCCCUAAAUCCCUUCUCAGUUCGGACUGGAGUCUGCAAC
rnacentral:rRNA from 1 species